rnacentral:tRNA from 1 species
GUGCUAUUAGUGAAAUGGCAUCACACGACUUUGCCAAGGUCGUAGCGCGGGUUCGAUUCCCGCAUAGCACUC